CCUACGGGUGGCAGCAGUGGGGGAUAUUGGACAAUGGGGGAAACCCUGAUCCAGCGACGCCGCGUGAGUGAAGAAGUAUUUCGGUAUGUAAAGCUCUGUCAGCAGGGAAGAAAGAAAUGACGGUACCUGACCAAGAAGCCCCGGCUAACUACGUGCCAGCAGCCGCGGUAAUACGUAGGGGGCAAGCGUUAUCCGGAAUUACUGGGUGUAAAGGGAGCGUCGACGGUGAUGCAAGUCUGGAGUGAAAGGCGGGGGCCCAACCCCCGGAACUCUUCGGAAAACUUGGAACUGGAGUGUAGGAGAGGUAAGCGGAAUUCCUAGUGUAGCGGUGAAAUGCGUAGAUAUUAGGAGGAACACCAGUGGCGAAGGCGGCUUACUGGACUGUAACUGACGUUGAGGCUCGAAAGCGUGGGGAGCAAACAGGAUUAGAUACCCCUGUAGUC
rnacentral:rRNA from 1 species